GUUUUCUUCUUCUCCUGGGAUGUUGAUAUUGGCCUAUGUGACCGUUCUGCAGCUUUUUCUGCCUGGGGAGGAUGGGAAGGAAUGGUUCCAGCGAGGCAGCUAGAUAUAGACUAUGAAGGUGGUGAUUUGCAGACCUCUGUAAGAGCCUCUUUGUGUUUGAACCUUGUGUUCUCCUGUACUCUCUUCAAAUGCCUCCUGGAGGUCCAUCAGCUCUUUUAGUGUGGUGUUCAGAGAUGUCCCAGUUGAGAUUUACACUCAUUUGUUGGCUCUGUUGUGAGCUAUUGAAGAGGGGGCUGGAGGACCUUUGCCCUCUUGGAGGAAUCCAAGGCAUGCUCUGGAAAGCUGCUGGGAACAGAUCAAGUUUAGCUGGUUGGUAGUUUCUGGUGUGACCCAGAUGAGAAGGCUGGUGGAGCCAGGGGGUAGUCCUGCCAUCACUGGAGUCAGUAAUUCAGCUUCAGCUGAGCCAGGAUUUGAUCCUGCUUGUUCAGUUACUGAUUAAGUUGAGGACAGCCACUUAGAAAACAAGUAGGGGUUCUUGAAAGGGAAGAUCUUCUGCCUGGCCUCCCUGGCCAGCUGGAUGCAGGGUCACAACUGGGUUGGCUCAUGAGUGGCUACUUCACCCAGGAGCAGUUCUUCUAGCUCUUCAGCUGGGACUGACCACAAGUGCUUGGUUUCACCAUUUUGGCUCUUGCAGUUUUUAAACCGAGUCCUGACUCCCUUCGCUUGCUGAUGAAGGGGCCAGCCUUUGGGUAAUGAUCCAUCUGGUUGCCCAAAGAUGUCAUUUGUUUAAUUGCCUGGUUCACGAAGAAAGGGUGAUCUCAGUUUGCUCCUUGUGACUCUGUUCUGAGCCAGUGCCGGAUGUUUUGGGACUGUUCUCCCCUUUUGUGAAGUGACCUUUGAUGAAUACGUGCCUCAGCCCUCCUGCUCUACACACUGAAGCAUCUCAAGGGUCUCCAUCCUCAGUGUGAGAUGAGACACUCUCCCAGCUUCUCCUGGAGGUGUCUGGCCCGUGUUUUGAAAGGAAGGAGAACUGGGGCUGGGUGUUUGGGGGUGUUAGCCCCCAAAACCUGCAGUGGCACUGCACACAGAACAUGCAUGGCUUGACCUCGAUAGGAAUCUGCCUGGAUAGGGAGAAACCUAGGGUUGGAGGGAGAAUUUUGAGGCAAAAAUCCGUAUUCUGUGACUCCAGAAUGAGCACCAGAGCUAUAGCCCUUUAUUAUUGAGUAGGAAGUCUGGGCUCUCAGUCUUAGCCUCUCCUAAGCCUUCCCUCACCGCUCCUUAUCUCCCAUCCCUGGAGAGAUGGUGCAAGACUGCUGCAUGUACUGUGGUUCAGAGGGAUGGCUUAGGCUUUACCUCAGCCAAAAAGGAAAAAAAAUCUGUUUUUCCCCUUUUUCCUCUCCAUCCUGGCCUGCCCGCUGGCUGGUACAGCCAGUCUAUUUUGCUUUCAUAAGCCGCAUUAUGUAAGCCGUGUCUUGAGUGGGGAUGCAGUGCCAACUUGGACUCUGCAGCGGGAAGGAGCCGCAUUCCUCUGCCACCGGGUUUAAUCCUUGCCUCCAGCCACAGUUGGUUUGUUGGGAGGAAUCUGAGGGCUGUGCCGAGGUUUCUAAUCCCUCGACCCAGGUGGAGCCAGCUCGUUUGUGCAGGAGCCCUGCUUUCCUUUGUCAACAGGUUCUGCCCAAGACUCCUCUUAGCAAGUCCUUUCCUUGGCUGCUAGGAGGGUUGGCCCAGGCAUGCACACCACACAUUGGCACCUUCUUCUCCUCUCUUCGUUUGUUGAACUCUCUGGCUUAGGUUACCCUUCCUCAGAAAGGCUGGUGGGGGAGGAAAAAGGAAGACUUCUGUAAUCCUAGCCCCCCAAAACAGUGGUAAGGUGAGUUGCCAGGCUGGCAAGGAAAGCAGGUAGGCUGCAGAGCCUGAGGUGCCAACAGCUUCUUCAUCUGUCCCACCACUGACUGCCCUGCCACAUCUGCAGUAUGUGACCCUUGUCCCACCAAGGACCUCGGGGAACCCUGGAGAUCCUGCACUUGGGGGUCCUGUGGCACCAGCCCGGUUGGGUAUGGGGUGCAGGACAGCAGUGGACUCCGGGCAGGCUGUUUGUUGGUUCCCCAGCAGUCUGAGCAAGCUGCCUUCAGCCCUUGUGCUCAGGACAGUUGAGCUUCAGGACCCCAUUUGGCUGAGCGUGAGCUGCGCUGGUUCAGAAGGAACCUAUAUUCAGGUUUUAGACAGAGCUGAUAGCAGCAGUGCCUUGCCGUGUGUGGGUGGAUGAGGCACCACGCUCCACAGCUUUUGCUAGCAGCUUUCCCCAGUGCCAAGUAUGCUGUUAAGGUGAGAAUUAUUAAUCAGAUACAGAUUUGGGCUACUUUUCCUCACCACAAGGCCAGGUGGCUCAAGCUCACGCCUAUUUGGGAUUGUUUAGGGAUUGUGAGUAAUGGUUGGACUCGGUGAUCCAGUGGGUCCUUUCCAACCUACUGAUUCUAUGAUUCUACAGCUCAUGGAGAUGCUUCUGUCCUGAGCCAAAGCUUGGCCAAAAUGCCUAAAAUACUGUGAACGGGAUCAUUCUCCCUUACUGAGCUGAAUCUGUAGGAUGCUGGGAAGCACACCGGCCAGCAGGUUUUUGGUAAAGUGCUAGGAUCAACAUUUGCUUCAACCACAAAGAACAACUUCCUCAGCGCCUCCCUGUGUUGAGGGGAUCCUGAGCAAGCCACCAAGUUCGAGGUUGGAACAGUCAUAUCCAGGGCUAUGUUGUCCGGAUGCCGUUUCCAUUUAGGAAGCUGCCUGGGAACAGCUGGGCUUAAAGAUGGGCUUAGCCUGUCUCUGAGACUUGAAGGCCAGGGCUUCAGCUGCCUGAAUCACCGAAAACUAUGCGCUUGUUCUGAAAUACAGGAUAUUUUCAGACUAUUUUCCACUCAGACUGAGAACACAUGCAGGGUGAUUAACUGGCUCCAUUUUUUCCACCUCUCCUUGUGGCGGACUCUCCUGGCAAGUUCUCCAUCCGCUCUUUAAAAUGUUUUCACUGCAACAUGGAUGCCUUCCCUUCUGGCAAAUAACCGUGCCAGUGAUCAGCGGGUGACACUGUCACCGUGGGCUCUAGACCUGUGAGGAAGCACUUCAUUAAGAGAGGAGACUGCUAUAGCGUGGAAGUAUUUUCUUUGUAAUCUCUCUAGGAUGGAGAAAGCUGCUCAUGAAGCUGCCUGGGGAAGGAAGUGGUCUCUGGCAGAGCUGUCCUCUGCACUACUUUGGAAAUGCCACCAAAGGAGGAGCCAGAGAUGCUCUGUGGAUGGUGGUUUGGGACCAAAGAGCAUCUUAAAGAUUUGUGUCGUGCCAGCAGUCUGUGCCGUGAUCGUGUCCUGGUCAGAGUGAGGUGUUUCAGCUGGGUCAUUUGAUCUCUGUUUACGUGGGGAGGGAAAAGAAUUGGCAGGAGUGCUAUCUUGCUUUCCAAGUGCGAGUUGUAGAGCUUAUGCGUGCUCCUCACACAAGGUUCUGCACACGGGGUAGGUUAUAGUUCAGGAACAUCAAGGGAUAAAGGGGCAGCAUUCCAGACCCUACAGAACGUGUCUGCCUGGCUUUGACAGGCAACUGAGAGCAGAAGGGAUUGAAUGCUGCCUGAACAAUGUACUGCAAUGCCCCUGUGUACAUGGAGUUCAUCUUUGGCAUAGCAGGAGCGAAGUUCUCUGAAUCAUUGCCGUGAGCCACCCACGGUGUCUCCAAAGCACCCAGGAAGGGGUAGGCCAUGCAAUUUGCACCUGCUAAAGGGUAAACUCGAGGGUACGCACUUCCUCUUCAAACGAAAGAAAACCCUUCUUUCUGUUGCAUCUUGCAAAGAGGCAGCUUGGACUUACCGGGGAAGCUUCCACUGGAGAAGGUCAUGAAGCUUGUAAGAGGCAAACUUCUGCUGGAAGAUCUGGUCUUGGUAAAACAGAAACCUCUGUGCAAAGUCUGAGGUGGGGGAAAAGCAAUGAUGCCAUGUGAGUUCUGCAGAGCGCCUGGAAGAUGAGAGUGAAUGGAUUUCUAACAAGCUAUAGCUGAUCACUCCCUGUGCGAGCAACGUGUGACCUCACUUCAUAGGACAUCUUGAGUGGGUGCUAGUGACAGCAAGCCCAAAGAGCUCUGACACAGGAAUCUCCUUCCUCUCUCCAACCAGUGACAACUGCUCACAUGAAAUCUAAAGCAAAUGCUGCAAUACUAGUCUUUUUGUUGUAAAUAGCAUCGGGCUUUUUUUCUGUGCUCUAUUGAAGCAGCAGCUGUAUUUCAACCAGCUGGCAGGGCUCUGGGAGGAGAUCAAGUGUUCUUAGCAAAGUUGGGCUGAAUCUGUGGCUGGUGGAAAUGGGUGUAAUUCAGUUUGACCUCAGCACUGAGCUGCUUUAUACCAAAUUUGAACUGAGCUCCCAGACUGGAGCUUUGCGGGGCUUAGAAGGUAGGAGAAGCGUUCUCUGUAGAGGUGAAAUAGUCAUGCGUGUUGUUCGCGGUGUCUGUUGGAGCAGGAGGGCAAGGAGCUUGGCCAUGCAGUCCAGCAGAGGCUGCUGCCAGACAGGAUUUUACUUGCAUGGAGAGUAAAGUCUCCAAGCACUUGCUGUUGGAUAGUCCUCUUCUGAAGCAUGCAAAACCAGCAUGAGACUCUUCUGUGCAUCUGGAGCUGUGUAUGUGUGUAUUGCUACAUUCUGCCCAGGCAUGCCGCAAGACCACAGCGCCAGCUCUGCCAAAACGUUCAGUCCUUCUGGAAAGCUUCCACAGCACCGUGUGCUUGUCCUGCAGGAUACUCCGUGCCAGGUACCACAAGGCAGGCGCCAGCCCUUCCUCUGGGCUCGGGAACAGCUUGUUUUGAAUGUCGGUGGCACGGAAAGUAGAGAAAGCAGGAGCAGAUGUGCCUGUGGGCAAUGCUGGCUCGUCUCCCUGGCAGGGGAAGGAGUCAUUCCUCUGGCACCGCUGCCUGCAGGCGCUUGCCCCUGGGAUGCUGACCCCCAAGACAGGCGGGACCCUCCCAUAUCAGCACUGCCUCGUGUUCUCAGCCAGACCCCUGUCUUCUGCACAGAAGGUCUUGAACAGCAAAGCUGCUCUGUGUGCUGGCUUCAUUAAACUGGUGUCUCCUCUUGAUGCUCAGCUCAGCCCUCAACACCCUGCUCUAUCUAUCCACUAAUAGGUAGCUCAUCAUGGAAGUGGGUUGAGAAGGACAUGGCGACCGGAGAACACUGGGAGGAGUUGGAGGGAGAGGAACAUACUCGGAUAGGAGGGAGUGUUGCUGGGAUGUCAGUGAGGAUGCAGGAGACGCUGUCUGGCUGGGAGAAAUUCAAGCUGCUGCAGUUCCCAGGCUUUACAGAACUGAUGUAUCUGCCCACUUCAAGACCUUCUGUCCAGUGUCUCAUCUCACUGCAGUGGGACAUCAGGGAGAAGAUGCCCAGUGAAGUGUUAUCGCCGAGAGGCAAAUGGCAGCCCCGAGGCACCAUGCCAUCUCGCCAAGUUGGCUGGCCCAGAUAUGAAAGAAAAACGGAAGUGGGACCUACUGACCCAACAAUUGCCACCCAAAACCUGCCGGUAGGAAGAAGACAUGUUGGUUGAGCUACAGAAACAGCCUGAAGUGUGUCCUAGAGCAUACCUUCAGGUGCCAUGCAGGGAGGAUUUCCACCCUGAGUUUUCAGGUAGCAGAGUGUGGUGUCAGAGGGAUGCACUGUGUCCAUGCAGGGCCCAGGGCUGGUGGAAAAGACCUUCCUACUCCACCUCUUCCUCCAUCCCUGUCUGCUAGAAGGCAUUGCAGCAUUGUCUGCUGUACCAAGCCCAGUACCCUGGGUCUGGACACUGCCGUACUUGCACCUGUGUUUGCAAGUGAUGCUCAGCGUUUGUGACUGACUCACACCCCGAUUUCCUGCAUGGCUAAAAGGUUCAUGUAUCACUUGGUGAGUCUGUACUCCAGGACUUUAUUCAUUCCAGAGUUGCUGGCUGGAUUUCUGGCAUUACCUAAGCAGCCUGAUGGCAUAGGGUGGAGGAAACUUGGGAUUUAACCAUCCUAUUAGAGGUCUGAAGACCUCCAGCAUCUCCGGUAGGGCCACCAUCUCUGCUUUAAAUUACGAGGCAGCAGAAGUUAAAUAGAGUUAAGAGAAGAGGAAGAAGAAUGAAAAAAGGGAUGGGGCCAGCCCUGUGCUGGAGACAGGAAGUAUGUGGCUGGAGAAGAAGAGUGAGAAAGGGGGUGGCUGCUCCCUGCCAGCGCUUGGGUAAUAUCAGCAGUGGUCACGUGUGGAGAUCUGCUUUUGGCAUAGCCUGCAUGUUUGUACGGCUUGGGGAGGGGUGUGAAAUCAGCUUCCCACUUCCAGGAAUCCUCCCAGCACAGGAUAUGCUGCAGGGAGCUGGUAAACACGAUACAACCGCUGGCCUGUAACUCAAUCGGCUCCCUGCUUUAGCUGCUCCCCGCCUAGGGACCUCGCUAGGUUCUUGGAGUGAUAGCGUGGGACAGUGUGUACCAGGGCACAGGGCAUUGCCAGCGGGGUUCGGGAGUGACGGGAAGGAGAGGGGCUUGCACCAAGGGUCUGGGGACAGGGCAACUUCUCCAGCUUUGGAUAUGCCUUGGGUGCAGCCUGGGUUCAGCUGCUGCUUGCAAACCCUCUUUGGCCUCAGCUGCAGGCUCCCAAAGUCAGAAAUAGCUACUUGGCUGAGGAGCAAACAUCUCCCUGGACCUCCCCUUCCCCACCUCCCUGUCCCGGCAGUAGUGGGAGCCGUGGGUAACAGCCUGCGCCCAUUCACAGAUAGCACAGGCUCCCCAGCUGCCAGCGUGCCUCGAGCUGCUCCUAAUCUGCUUGCUCGCAAAAAUACAUCUCGCUUGGGCUUUUUGCCACCUUUCCUCCCUCCCCUGCCUUUUGGGAGAACUUGUUUAUUGCUGGGCGCAGGGAAACGUGACCUCUGCUGCCUGCUAUCCCCUUCAGCUCCCUGUCCCUGCGAGUGACAGUGGGCUGGCGUGGCGGCUGGGGACACGGGAGGGGACACCCGCUGCCGGGCAGGGGCGAAGGCAGGGGCACGGAGCCUGGGUCCUGAUAUCACUGUCCCCAGCGGGGAGGGGAUUUCACAAUCACAAGUUAUAUUAUUUGGACCAGCAUCAGGCUUGUGGAUGGUUUCUGCUAACAACCUUGAUGCAGGGGCUGAGGGUUCAUGAGCCCGAGCGUGAGACCUGGGAGGCAGGAAUGGGAGUGAAUUAGUUAAUAUGGAGCAUAAGAGCCGUGCAGGUGAGAAUGGGGAAGAAAACCUCCUGCUGCUGCCUCAGGGUUUGUCUGAAGUGGCAGCGGAAGGGAUGUCUGGCGACAAGGAUACCAUGAGGGUGAGAUGCUCUGGGUGGGUGGAGAUGGGCUCCUCACUGCACUGGGGAUCACUGUGCCCCUUGUGCCCAGCCUGCAGCAGACAGCGUUGGAUGAGAGGUGCAACAGAGUGGUUAGAGCGAUGGGAGAGCCCAGGGGUGAUAGGAAGAGCUUGGCUGGUCUGGCUUAGCAAAGCAGGGAGCGUGAGGGGGACAAAGAGCCUGCCCGUCCUGACCCCAUGCCCAUAUCUUCAGCAAAUUUGCCCUGGUCCUUUUAUAUAAUAAAUAUAUUCUUUAGCUGAGACCAGGGAAGAAAAGGAUCUGGCCUUUUCUUUUUAGCCUUCAGCUUAAUUUCUUUCACAGAGGAGGACACAGCCAAGGGAGGCAGGUCCUGGCCAAGCAGCCCUCUGCGGGAAAUGGGGUGGAUUUUGUGCUGCCCGCUGGUUUAUUUGUAUUUUUAGAGCAUGCUGCAGGCACGAGGUCACCGAACUGAGUGAAAUUCCACCCUGGAGUGGCUCCCCGUCCCCAUCCUACUCCUCGAGGCUGGGCUAGAGUCAACAGCUGAGCUGGGGCUCAAGUGUCCCAGCCAUGGCGAUGCCUGGCUGAAGUGAGGGAUGAGGGGCAACUGGGUGGGUGGGUGGGUGAGCUCCAAGUGGAAGAGCUGGGGACCAGCAAGGUGGUGGGCAGAGGGCAACCCUUCUGUUGGUAUCACACCUAGAAGAGCCUCCCUGGGGGUGAGGGUCUUGCCGUGCCAUGCUGGAGACGCCAUCCCAAGGUGGUACAGGGUGCCAAGGACUCUCGGUUGAGGGGUAUUUGUCUGGUAGGACCAUGAGUCCCUUGCCCCGAGGGAGCUGGAGGUGUGCGGAUGCUGAGAUGAGACUGGGAUAAAACAGAGAGGGACAGGGAGCUCAAGUACGCCAAAGAGGAGGUCACUGUGUAGCGUGCUUGCUUGAUGGAGCGAUGAGUUGACAACACAGUGAAUCAAAAACUUGAGGAGUGGGAGGGGAAAUCUAGCAAAUGGGAGUACGUAGGGUCUUAAAAUGGAACAGCACAUUUCUUCAAGAACACACCUCAGGUCUCUUCAUCAUCUCCACCAAGUGAUGCAAGUGAAACAUCCGGCUAGGGCUUAGGCUCAACAGUGAGCGAGUCAGACAGGCGGGACUCCCACCUCUUGACUCACUGCUGGCAGCAAUGCUGGAUGCAGCCUCGGCACUGGGAAUUCCCGCUGCCCGCUUCGCUUGCAAGAGGCGAUGGAGUCACAGCCCCCAUGGGGUGGUUGCAAAGGAAAAUCGUCACUGUAUGAGAUAAACCUGAAAUAAAGAGACAAAAUGUCCCUUGACAUGCUGACCGCACUGGAAAGUGUAGCAAGAGUUGUUCCCAGAAAAAGCUGAAAGCAUCAGAUCCUUGCUUUAAGGUAAGCAAUUUGCAUAUCAAUUAGGACAAGAUGUGCUGAGAGUCCUUGUUUGCGAGCUGUUGCGCUGCUCUUUCAGAUGGUCUUCUAGGAGAUGUUUUCCCUGUUCGAGCUAUCUGAAUGCUUGGCAUCACCCAGUUUAGGUGGCCCGAGCACCAGAGGUGAUCACGUGUGCAGGGGACCAGCUGCUUCCACCCGGAGAUGGAUGGAAGGGGAGGCAGUGGAAUCAACAUUCAAAUCAUGGCUCAAACCUAAUAUGAAGUGAUGGGGAGCUCUGCAUGGGGCAGCUGAACUCCAGGCGAAGGAAUUGUGAAGCACUGUUGUUAUUGCUCCAGGGAAGAGUUUUCCCAUUGCUGCAUGGCUUGCCUUGUAGUAGCUUCACAAGAACCCUUAAGGAUGCGGUGAGGUGCGUGGCUGGACCAGGAUGGGACCAGAUGUUGUUAUUCACCUGCUGCAGAGCAAGUGAUGAGCCCUCCCUCCAGUGCUCUUGAAGAGAGGUGUGUGUAUGUGUGUGGUGCCCAGCCCUCCCCUACGGCUGCAAACCGUGGUGCUCUCGCUCCGAAGAAUCAACUGGACAGACUGCUUUUGAUGAGCUGGAAAAGAGGUUGAUCUCACUUGCCCAUGCACAGGAGAUGCACGUGUCACGGGCAUAUUCUUGCACCUAUUUUUAUCUGCUCCUUGGUGGAGAUGUCUUGGCGAGGUGGCUCGUGUUCCUGGAGAGCAUCCAAACAACCCGCCUGCUCAAGCCCUGGUGUUGGGGUGCCCGCUGUUGUGCAUUGCUGCUCUGGUUACCCAAGCUUCCAUUUGGGUACAAAACAUCAGCUAUGGGGUGAGUGAAGGAGGGGCUUUUGCAGCUUUUGGAGAAUACGACCCAGUUUUUGGUGGAAGGGCUUAUGGAUAAUGCAGUGUCAGAGAUUUUUCUGAGUGUAGCAACCCAAUACAAAUACCAUGGUACAAAAUCAAAGUGCUUUGUGGGAGGGAUACCCAUAUCCUGCAAGGCCAGUAGGGACACCGGCUCUGCUGGACGUAGGCAGCCAGCCUGGAGCAGAGCUGGAGUUCGCAGAGGGACGGGAUGAUGCAGAAUCACAUUCCCUGGGUACAGAAAGGGGCUAUUAACGGGGAGAAACGGGGGGAGCGAUGGAGCACAAUGGCUCUGAUUUGUUGGCAGUCAUGACCUGCAGUCCCUGGCAGCACCUCAAAGCAGCUGUGAAGUGCCAGUCGGUGGCGAUGCUUCGGCGCGUGAUGCGGGCGCCUGACCCUGGCAGAAGGCUGGGAUGUGGGCUGCCCAGUGGGGAGAGCACCCACCCGGCUUCUCCCGCCUGGGGCCCUGCAGAGGAAACCCAAGGAUGCUUGUGACAGGCUGAGUGCUUCAGGGACGUGGUGGCUUUGCUUUCCAGGGCUCUCCUUGAAUCCAUCUAUCCUGCUAGCCAUGCCUAAGUAAAUUUUACCACUUACAGGACAUAGGUUGCCUUUCUGUCCAAAGCCAGGCGAAUGCAAGCACUGCCGGGGACAAGAUGAUGUCAGGCUCCCAGUCCAGGGUGUCCAUGUGCAUACUGCAAGUGGGCACACACACACACAAAAAUACCUUCCUGUCGCAUCCUGAACAAGCUCACUAGAAGAUGUUUCUUUCCCCCACAUCCCAGUAGCACAGAGAAAAAACGUGACUGUGGGAAAAGUCAAGAAAAUUAUCAGGGAGUAGCAUUUUUAUGAGCGAGCUGCUUUAUGCCUGCACAGCCAGAUGCCUGAAUAAGUUAAUGCAGGCUUCAGGAAAUCAUUUGGGCUGCUGCAAUUUUUAAGCCUCUAAAAUAGUUUUCCUGCUCCCUGAGGAGCUGUGAAUUUUUAGGUCUGACAGCUUCCAGCACCCCACGGGUGAGCCAACAGCUGCUCAUCGCAGAGGAGCCCCCUGGGAGGCAGCGCUGGGGAGAAGUGGGGCUUAUGGGGCUCACGCUUCACGUGACGGUCGCGGUGAUUUUUGGAAGGAAAGUAAGUGUUUGGGGUGAGAAAGAGCCUGUUUAAGAAUAACAGCUUGCUCUGAAAACCUGCCAACAUCAAGCACCCGUUUUGUCUGGGUCCUUGCUUGAAUGUCACGGGUACCACCAUGCGACAGCGUGUCUGUGAUGGGCUCUGUUGCUUGUAUGUGUGCACACCUGGGUGCACUGCACUACCGCACUCUCACAGGAGCAUCACCCAGUGAACGGCUAGGAAAAACCCUUUUCCUUGCCCAAACUGCUUUACUCUAAUCCCUUUUUACCUUUGGCCUCCAGCCUCAGUUAUACCAACAACCCACACUGGGCCAAAACCGCACCAGGUGUCACGUACAAUGUGCAUCGCCUCUCUGCUCCGAGCGUGGGAUCUGUGGGUGCUCCUGCCCUGGUUUCUUCCACCAAAAAACAGAGUGCAGCUGGGAAAAUCCCCAAAAUCCUCACUCAGAAGAGAUUUGGAAGAAUUAGGAGAAAGAGUAAAGGAAGGUUUAGCUUUAAAAAAAAUUAAAAAGUAGAUCACUUUGUUCCAGAGCAACUGAACUUACCCCUUUUUUUUGUUGUUGUUGUUGUUUUAGGUACUUCAG